rnacentral:ncRNA from 1 species
AAAUUAUCACACGACUGGCGGAAGUGGAGUUUACCACAGGGAGUGUGAUUUUUACAUAAUGCCGACCGCCUGGGCAAAACCA